AAAGAAAAAGAGGAGGAUCUGGGAAUUGUACCUCCUUUUCUUUAAAUUUUCUUUAUAUCGAAGUUGUUAGCUUUCAUAAUCACGCUUGGAGCUCGAUUUUCUCGCUCUAAACUCGUGGAACAGUGCACCCUCUCUCUCCCUCUCUCUCUCUCUCUCUCUCUCUAGGACCAGCGGAGGCGCAAGUUGUCUCCUCGUUUCGAUCCUUAUCUCCUCGCAUGCUCGAGGUCACUCAUUGCUUUGUGGGGUUUUCGAGAAUUCUUCCACCGCGGUGUUUCAUCUUCAUCAUCAUCUUCCUUCUUGUUCUUGUUCUCCUCCUCCUCCUUGUUGUUCUUCUUCUUCUCUAUUUCAUUGGUCUCCUCAGCGAAGAUUCGGAGAAGUGAUUUCCCUCUCGCGUUUCGGUGUUGUUCGGCGUGAUUUGAUGGGCAUUUUCCGUCAGGUGCUUCCAGGAAGCGCUCUCUUUUGCAGCUUCCUACAAUGGGUGACUCGUUUCUUUUCCGCUCGUUGAAUCGGACUGGGUUUCCUUGGUAGUUGUAAAACUAGUACCCUUCGACUCUCUGGGGUUUGGUUUGCUCGUCGUUGCGAAAAUGCGAGAUUGUUUGGAUACGAAACUCGGAUGUGUUUUUUCUUAUCUUCAGUUUAAGGCUAGGGUUUGGUAGUUUUUUGAUCUGGAGAUCGUUCAGAGUUUGCUUUCGCGGACCCAUUUCAUUUUCUGUUUGGUUGUCCUUGUUUUGUUUCGGGGAAGUUUUGUGUUCGGAUUAAGUUUGUUGCUCCUCAUUGAGGGAGAGGGAUUUUACUUUUCUCUGAGUUCAUUUGAGUUUAGUUGAACUUACUCAUGCUUUACUGAAUUCACAUGCUCACUGCCCUAGCUGGCACGAGUGCCUAUUUAUUAUUGAAAUAUACUCCCUUGUGGAUCUUAGGCUCGCUGGCUUUCGGUGUAGUCUCACGGGUUUUGGAUAAUUUUCUUUGUUUAAAUGGUGUGGUUCCCACGCUGUUGCUGCCCAUGUUGUUCUCACUAGAUGCGGAUGCGUCAGGAUUAAGUCAUAAAUGCCACUUAGGUUUUGGUUUUGUAGUCUAUUCUUCUGAUGAUAAUUUAUGGGCAUGCAAUAUGUUCUUUCCUUUCCUUUUGAUUAUUUCUUUUGAAGAUCUUGAGUUGCGAGAUUUCAGUGCUGUUUGUGCUCUUUUUACUCACGUCUGUGCUGAUUCCUUGGAAAUAUAUGCCUAGUAAGAUUCAACCUUCGAAGCUGUCCAUCUCUUGUUGUGUUUGACAGUCAGCAUGGGGACAUUUUUCCUGUCAUAGAGUAAUAUGUGAUUCUGGAUAUUUUAGUUGAGACCCUUUUAUUGAUAAGGCAAACAAAUUUCAAUGGCUAUUGCAUGUUUAAAUGUUCUGAAAUAUUGCUUAUCUCCUUCUAAUUUGAAUUGGGGAAUACUAUAACAAUCAUCCAAUACAUUACUCUAGUUGGUGAGGAUUGGAUUGGCUAUUGAAUUUCAGUCAUGUAAUGUGUAAUUCUCCAUAGAUUAUGGUCAAAGAUUUAUAGAAACUUGCCAUUAGUAGAAUUUGCCUCUGCGCUUUGCUUUUUGCAGAUUUGGGCCUCUAGGUGAUAUCGUUGCUUGACAACGAGAGAGAGCACGCUAGUUGGCAUCCAUAAAAGGGACAUGGCUGUGUACAAGCGUGCUCUCUAUCGUUGUCAUAUGAUUUGCAUUUGAGGCUUUGUUCCUAAUCUGUGGCAUAAGCGGAUAGUAAAUUCGAAUUAUAUGUCUCAAGUGUAAUAUUUUAAUGCAUGACAUUGAUGAGUUCUGAAGGCUUGUGUCAUGCAUAUAUGAUACAAGAGGGUUGAGUCUCCUUUUUCACAUAGCUGGGAGGUAAUGUGAAUUUUCUUUUUCUCCUUAAACUUGACAUUUCAAUGCCUGAUACUAAUGAGUGUGUACUUUGUGUGAUGCAUUGGUAUAGUGCAAUUCUAGAUGGUUUUCCAAUAAUUUGGUGCAUGUGUGCAUCUUUGUUUAAGUUUGGUUGUUGUGUAGAUGUGAUGUGAUGGAGCAUGUACUAGAUACUCAAGUAAUUAAAACAUGUUUUUCUGAUGUAGCUGGUAGCUUUCUCGAUAUAUUUUGCAACAUCCAUGUGUCUAUCGAGAUGUGCACAUUUUAUUGGUUGAUCUGAAGUAUGUCACUAUUCAUGAUACUGAUCAAUGAUUUUGGAGUUGCAUUGCUCACUAAUAAUGAAUUAGUGUAACGCAGGAUAUUAGUGUAAUGCACGAUUUUGGAGUCUAGGUACCAUAUUGUUUGUUAUUUUCCUUGAAGUACUGAUUUCAUGUGGUGUUUGGAUGAGGUUAUGGGACAUUUUCCUUGUCAACUUGUGCAACAUAACUUUAAAUCUACUCGAACUUGUAGUUGUUGAGUAAGAUAUUGACUAAUGUAUAUUGUUUUAAGGAAAUUAUGAAAUAUGAUUUGCACUCCAGCAUAGUAGGCUCAAUUUAGGGAAGAAAAGGAUGCCAUGAUAUCCUGGUUGGGUUGAAUAUUCAGGUCUAAAUUAAGGAACUUGCGUGCUAAAUUUAUCUUUUGCAGAUUAAAGACCUAACUUUGGUCAGUCCUAAUGAUAAUGAGGUUGCACACAUGCCACCAAAGUAAAUUUGGUUUUUCAAUGAGUUUGUAAUGCAAUAUUAAAUUUAAUCCAACUAUGUGUUUCUGCUCAUGCACAUCAAUUGUUCAAAUUUGAUAGCUUGUUAUAGCUGAUUAACCUAAUUCCAUGCUUUGGCAAUGCUUGCUUUAUUAAAAAUGGCAGUUAUUGUUUGGGGGAAUCGCUCCACAAGUCAUCUUAUGUACGCAAUAUAAUCAUGUCUCAAACCUUUCAAUUGCUGCAAUAAGGUCCUAUGGAAAUAGAAAAGUCUAAUUGAGCUAAACUUUUAGUUCGUGUAGUCAAGUCAUAAAACUUUACUCCAAAGUGCACAAAGGUCCUAAACCUAUAUUAAGAAGUGCAACUUAAGGUUGCCGCAUAAGCUUUGAGUGCUAGCUGGGCAAGUUUCAGCAUUGUCCAUUGAAAAGACUAGAUUUUGUUUUUUGCAGUGGUUGCCAAUCAAAACAUUGAGGACUUAAUUGCAUUUUGCACAAAGGUUUAGGACUUUAGGUGCACUUCUCCUGUUAUGUGGGUGCCAAGGGGUGGUGAUUUUUUCUUUUAAGUUUUGCACUAGAAUUACCUUAAGAUUUCUAUACAGAUUGCCUAGGGAAGAGAGGGGGGGUAGGUGGGUGGGAUGAUUUUUUAUCAAUAAGUGAAUUUGAAACUUGAACAUAGGUUAUUGCGGUUGCAUUAUAAAUAAAGUAUUGCACUUGACUUAUAUGUAUAUAUUUUUGUUUGACAUGGACCACAACUCUCUUGGUGUCUUUUUUCUCACAUGCGAUGCUCCUUUUAACUUUUCCAAUUCCAUAGGAAAUGAAAUGAAAACAAUUUUCCGCUUCCAUUUCCUAAUAUUUUAAAAAGAUGUUUGGUAAGCCAAAAUGAGAAUUCUUGGUGGAAAGCACAAUUUUGAAAAUAUCUUUUGUGCUUCACUAAGAUGGUUUUUUUUUCCCUAUUUUGACCAAUAGGUUAAAUUUUUUUUUCAUAUAUAGAAUUCGAGAAAGUUUUAGAGAAGGUUCAUGUUCUUUACCAAUUCUCUGUGUGAGUAAAGUUUCUGGAGCUCACUGUUUUCCUCUCCUCAACACCAUUAAGCUUUUCAUUGUAGCUCCGGGAGGGUGGUUGAGGUGCUGCCUUCUCUCAAGCUAUCUGGAAGAUCCCUUGUUUUAUGCUUGGAUCCAUUCUUUGAAGAAGAUAUCAUGAAAAGAAUGUCUUUCAGUCCGUGAUACUGUAUUCUCAUUUUGGACCUGGAAACACCAAAGUGUUUUCAGUCCAUGAUACUGUUUUCACUUUUGUGCCUAAUAAAUGAGAACAAGCUGACCAUGUUUCCAUUAGAAAAUUUUUCCGUGAUCCCGCCAAACAAAGUUGCUAGUGACCUUUUCAUUCUGAGUGAAAUAAAAGUGGAACUUUGAAAUUGCCUAUCAAGCAAACAAUCCCUGAAAUCCUGCCAUUUUCUUUUGUUUUGUAGUUUUCUUUUGUUAGGACGGGUGAUUCAUAGUUGUGAGUAGAAUCCUAAAACAUUUUUAUGCUAGAAGGUGUAGUUCUCUUUUACGGGGGCCUAUUUUGGUCCACUCCUUGUAACUAUAUCUUGUAGAGAAUGAAAUUGUACCAUACGUAAAAAAUGUAAACCUUAUGCAUUGAAGCAAAAUACUUCUUUCUACAACAAGGACUGUUGUCUUUUUAGUUUUUAUGGAGUGUGGGAUAUAUAAAAAAUAAUGCGACACAAUUAGCCAAUUUGGGUGUGGAGAAAUUCCAAUUUGAUUCUUGUGUUGAAAAGAAGAAAGAGACUAAGAUAAUUCCUCUCCUUGUGUUUUGGCUCAUCCAGAAAGAAAAGAACAAGGAGCAGUUGUCCUCUGGGAAUUCUCUUAGGGAUAAUUUGUCAUAGAGACUUUACUUUGGGUAACAUAGGAAAGUUUAAUUUCAUAAUUGUAGCAUUGUUGGAUGUGAGGUUCCAGCAGCAAAUUGCUUUCUGCAUGAGCCAUCACUCUCAUUACUUAUUUAGAUGUUAGUUUAUUAGUAGGAUAACUACUAUUUCUACCGCGAUGAAGGUGAUUUGUGUAGAGAAAGUCGACACAACAUGUAUAUACCAAUGGCCAAUCAUUUUGGACAUGGAUGGCUUCUCUAUGAAGCCAUUUUCUAGUACAA